UUGGGCAGCACAUAUACUAAAAUUAGAGAGAUUAGAGAUUAGAUUACAGAAGAUUAGCAUGGCCUUUGGGCAAGGAUGACAUGCAAAUUCAUGAAGCUGUCCAUAUUGUU